UAGGGAAUCUUCCACAAUGGACGCAAGUCUGAUGGAGCAACGCCGCGUGAGUGAAGAAGGGUUUCGGCUCGUAAAGCUCUGUUGUUAAAGAAGAACGUGGGUAAGAGUAACUGUUUACCCAGUGACGGUAUUUAACCAGAAAGCCACGGCUAACUACUUGCCAC
rnacentral:rRNA from 1 species